ensembl:lncRNA
CUUUAGAAUCCCUUGGACUGCAAGGAGAUCAAACCACUCAAUCCUAAAGGAAAUUGAAAAAAAGAAAAAAUAUAUAUACAAAGGAAAUUGACCCUGAAUAUCCAUUAGAAAGACUGAUGCUGAAGCUGAAGCUCCAGUACUUUGGCGACCUGAUGAGACGAGCCGACUCAUUGGAAAAGACCCUGAUGCUGGGAAAGAUUGAAGGCAGGAGGAGAAGGGGGUGGCAGAGGAUGAGAUGGUUGGAUGGCAUCACCGACUCAAUGGACGAGUGUGUGAGCAAACUCCAGGAGAUGGUGAAGGACAGGGAAGCCUGGUGUGCUGUAGUCCAUGGGGUUACAAAGAGUCAGAUACGACUGAGCAACAGUGGAGCCCUGAAGAACACAGGGCCACUGAACAAUGACAGUGGAGCCCCCCCAUCUUCUUUACACCAUGUGAGGAUUGAAUGAGAAGCAGGCCGCCCACAACCCAGAAGAGAGCCUUCACAUUGUGAAUGAUGCUACUAUGAACACAGAACACAGCUCAUAGGAUCAGGCCCAGUCAUCUCCAUGGUAACGUUGUACUCUACCAGCAUCACCUUCAUCUCCCCAGGAAUGUGGUUGCACAGGGACCAAGGCAGACCUGCGAGGGAAAAAGGUGAAACCAGUCAAUCCUGAAGGAAAUCAACCCUGAAUAUCCUUUGAAAUGACUGAUGCUGAAGCUGAAGCUCCAGUAUUUUGUCCACCUGAUGCGAACAGCCGACUGAUUAGAAAAGACCCUGAUACUGGGAAAGACUGAGGGCAAAAGGAGAAGGUUGCGGCAGAGGAUGAGAUGGUUAGAUACCAUCACCGAUUCCAUGGACAUGAGUUUGAGCAAGCUCUGGGAGACAGCAGAGGACAGGGGAGCCCGGUGUGCUGCAGUACAUGGAG